rnacentral:ribozyme from 11 species
AGAAAAAGACAGAAAAAAACAAAGAAAGCAAGAAAGAGUCCAAAUAAAUGAAGUCGUCGAUUUGAUCAUACAAAAGCUUUCUUUUGUCCGAUGCAAGCUUUUGAUUUUGCUGCCUUCUCUCACAGAACCCCCUUUAUUUUCA